CCCGUUCCAGCCCCCGUCCCCCCGUCCCGCCGACUUUGUCGUCGUUAUUGCGUAAAAUAACCGCGACCCCGCGCCCCCCCCCCCGCCACCGAAAAAAAAUGUUACGUUGUUUUUUUUUUUUUCUUUUUUUCCAACCACUACGCUACUACUACUUAAAUAAUGUUUAUCAUUUAUUGUUUAUUCUGUGUUUAAGCUUAUCGUGUACACCUAUGUAUUAUAUGUAUUAUUUUUUAAUAAGGACAGACGCAAUACGAGUAUAUAUAAAUAUUAUAAUAUACCAGCUAUAUCAUUAAUGUACCGACCGAGAUUUGUGUAAGGUGUUUUUUUUUUAUUAUAAUUUUUUUUUUUUUAUGUCUCGUUUAAUUAUUAAUGUCUUGUAUUUUACAGAUUAUUAUUAUUGUCACGCGAUUUUGUAUGAUUUUUUUUUUGUCCUACCCCCGCCCCCCCAACUUCCCCACCCCAUCCCACCCACCGGUGUCUGUGUGUUCGUAUACAACGACAAUGUCUGUACCGAUUUGUGUAUCAUUCGCCCGUCGCCCGUCCCCAGAUAACAACCCGUGCCCCCGUCGAACCCCCGUCCCCGUUAUGAUAUUAUAUGUUAUAUACGUAAAAAUUAUUAUAUUGUCGAAAACAAAAACCCACUGCGGUAUCACACGAUGUUUUACACGAUUCUUGUAUUAAAAUUGUAGUCUACAAAUUUGGUCUAUA